UAAAAAGGACGUCUAUAUAAGGAGGGGAACGAGCUUUGUUUAUAGCACAAGUGAAACUCCACUUUAUUGAACGAUGGGGUCUCAAAUGGGCUGCCUCUUUGCCACUCUUUUGGUAGUAUCAGUCUCUCUUAGCUACUUGCCGAUAGAAGCCUCCGCAAACAAAUACUACUACACAUCUCCUCCCCCUCCCAAGUACAAGUCUCCACCACCACCCCCGCCACCGGUUCACAAUUCUCCACCACCACCCCCGGUUUACCUGCCCCCGCCACCUCCUCCACCAGUCUACGUGCCUGCUCCGGCACCAACUCCAAUUUUCCCUUCUCCGCCACCUCCUGUCCCCAAGUCCCCACCACCACCUCACCCUUACGUCUAUGCAUCUCCCCCUCCUCCUUACUACUACUAGAAAGCGGCCAUGAAUAGCUCAUGCUUUUAUGGUAAUCUCAUUUAUUUUUAAAACUGUACAUGUAAAGACUAGUAGUUCAGAAUUACAUUAAGCAUUUCAAUUUUAAGCACCGUGUUCUGUUUAAUUGCGUUCCUAUUGAUUAAGUGACAAAUAAAAGAGAUUGAUUAAUUUGUUCUUGUAGGAGAGGCGAAUGGUAUCCGAAUAAAGAAAGCAAGGGUUUGAUGGAAGGCUUACUUGGAGCAAGAUAGCGAUCAAUCGAGUUGCUGCGUUUUAUUCUCUUUUCUCUUUGUUUUUUAAGAAAAAUAAACUGCCACACGUAGAAACAGAAAAUUAAGUUCUUGUCAUUUUCAUGCAUGUGGAUUGUUGCUUUGUGUGUCAAUCAAAUCUCCGUUGUGUCAUUUGUAAUUUUCAACCUUUAUGCAUGCAAAUGCGAGACCUCUUACGUAUAAUAAAAUUAAUAUACUUCCCAAGAUGGUCUUAUCUUGCGUUGACUUUUUACGUUCCUUUGGUGAUGAUUUUAACGUUUGAAAUUGAUGAGUAUUGUUUUUGUAAACUCUGACAUGGAUUUUUCGUGCAACUAAAGAGCGCAUUAAUGAGAGACUUAUCCAUGAGGGUCCAUGCAUAUCAGUGUCUAAUUAACCAAUAAUUAAUAUAACUUAAAAAAUAUAGAGUUAACAAUUUUUAUGGGUCAGGCUCAAUUGCAGAUGUUCGUACAAAAUUUCUUGCUAAUGUAUACUUGAGUAUGAUAAUAAGUUUUAAUCAUUAUUAAUAAUUCACUUGACAAUAUUAAACAAAUUUUCAUAUCAAUUAAGUUACAAAAUUUCUGUGACAAAUUUCCACGUACUGGAACCAUGCAAAAGGACUUUAUUCAAACAAAGCUGCAUAGCCGUUGGCAAUUAAAAUUAUUUAUCAAUUAAGUUAAGUAGUAAGAAUUGGAUUGUGGAUUCCAUUAAUUAUUUCAAGGAAAAUUUUAUAGAUAAUGCCGUAAUGAAAUUUACGGCAUCAAUACCAUGAUAAAUAUAAAUAUUGUAAAUUACAAAGAGAAUUAGUAAAGGUAAAGUAAAACCAGUAAAUUCAUAAAAGAUUAUUAAUUAUUUAAAAAAUUAACAUUGUUUCUACAUAAUUUUAGUGAAAAAUAUUUUAUUCAUUUACAAAAACAUUUCUUUAAUUAAACAAAAAAAAUUCAUUAAUUAAGCAAAAAAAUUAUACUGAAAAAAAAAAGUGGAAUAAGUUUAAUUGAAUUGGUUAUCAUAAAUUCUAUAUUUAGUCUAGGACAUUUGUAUACAUUUUUUUUCCCAUUUUCGAUAAUGAUAUCUAUUUGUUACACAUGUUAAUUAAGUGCAAUUAUUUAUCUUGAUGUGGACCAAGUAAAAAAAAAAAAAAAAAGAGAUAUCAAUAAAAUUAGAUCUAGUUUUGAAUAUUAUGUAUACUUUAUGUAGUUUCAAACUUUUUACUUGUAUUUGGAGACCAUUUAAGGUUGUUGUUGAAGAAGUGUAGAAAGAUGUAAAAUAACUUCAUCUUACAACAACUAUGAAAGAUAUUAAAAUAAUAUUUUUUUCAAAAUCCGAUUUUGAGAAAAAAUUUCAUCCUUAAUUAAACAUCACAUGUAUUAUAGAAAUGAAAAACUACCAUUGUUAUAUUUAAAUUAAAAAAUAAUAAAUAUAUAAGGUAAUAAACAUUAUAACGAGUUUUUAUUUUAAAAUUGUAAACUUUUGUUUCUGACAAUAACUCUUAUAUUAAUUAAUUUAUUUUGCAUUUUAUUCAUAAGUUUUAUGCAUAAUCUACAAACUUUAUGUUUUAUUUUGCAUUUAAUGUUGAUUUGGUUUUUUUAUAUUAUACGUAUAAGUUUUCAUUUUAUUUACCAGUAAUACAUCAAUUUAUCAGUUUUAUUGUAAUUUACUUAUUUUACCUUCCUUUUACAAUUCUUAUGUUUCAUUUUCAAAAUUUAUGUUUUAUUUUACAGUUGUUGAUGAUUUACUAGUUUUAUGUUAUGUUUGCAAGUUUUUGUUUUGUUUACUAGUAAUAGAUUAAUGGGUAAUUUUUAAUUGAGUCCUCAUUAGUUCUAGAAAAAAAAUUCAGAGACCAGAAGUUUACUAAAUGAAUCAAUUAAAUUCUUUCAAGUACAAACUAAUGUCAUUCAAGUCCUUAACUUAAUUGCUCAGUUAAAAAUAUUAACAACAUUGAGGACAUUUUAGUAAAACCACAAUUGAGUCGUUUCUCAUUCUUUAUUUUUGACAGGUGGAAAUAGUUUAAAGUUAACUCAAUUAACCUGAUUAAGUUAAGGAUCAGUUCUUUCAAAAGAACAAAAAAAAGACCUACAGAAACUGCCAUAUUCUUCGUGUGAGAGGAGAGAUCGAGAGAACGUGGGAUGGUGCAAAAAAUGUUGUAUAAAUCUACUGUGAUUUUGACCAAAGCUUUGGUAGCAUUGAUUGAGUUCAAGUACUGGAGAGAACCUGAGUUUAAAGGUUAGUAACUCUAUUUUUUUAGUGAUUUCCGCAAGCAUUUUCUGAUAAAAAAAUUUUCCAUAUUGAGUGAUCGUUGUGAAAAAUUAAGUUUUUCAAGUCUAUUUUUGAAAAUGACAAACUAUGUUUAAUUAUUGGUGGAUUCUUUUUUUUGUUCAAUAUUGUAUUUUGUUAAUUUGUUGUUUUUAAUUUGCUCUUUAUGUAAUUGUUAGACCAAAUACACCAUUAUUAUACUUGUAUUCAUUUCAACAAUUUGGUAUCAUUAUAUUAAUAAGAUUGAAUUCAUUGUAUUUGCUUCUUUGUUCAUGUAAAAUUGAAUUCUAUGUAUUCUUAUGAGUGAUAAUUUUUCUAUCUAUUAGACUAAAUUCACUAUAUUCACUACUUUCUUUCUUUUUGCUGGGCUAUUUUUUCUUUUUAGUUUAUAUUUUUUAUAUGUAUUAGAUUGAAUUUGCUUUUGUAUGUUUUUUUCGCCAAAUUGCAUGUAUAUUUCAUUUAGGUUGAGUUUUUUUUGUUGUUUGCUAAAUAAAAGUAUAUUGGUUUAUCCUUUUUUGAGGCAAUACUUUUGUUUAAAAUUAAUACAGGUAGCCAUGUUACCUUUUUUUCGGUUAAAAUUAAUGGGGUGAUGUAUGCGAUAGGAUAUAGGGAACCAGAGGAAUAUAAGAUUAUUAGGCUGUUUCUUGAAAUUCAAGAUGUCAUGGUUAAGCAUGGACACAUUGAAAUGGAUUUGAUUGAAAUUUUUGUUGUAUUGCCAUGGACUACAAGUAGGCAGAGGAAGCUAAUUUCAAACGAUAGUGAAUUGUAUUGGGUUUUCGAGGAGUUUUUUUUAUCAAUAGUUGUCCUGUCAUUGAGUUUGAGGUGCACACUGGGUCAGGUGGUCAGUCAUUUCAUGAAAGUGUUGUAAUAGGACCUGAAAAUCCUGUCAAUAUUAAAAAUUAGCGUUGUAAUAGUGAUAAGUUUGAAAAUCCUGUGGCUAAAAAGGGUUUGCCUAGAAUAAUUGGUUCUUCUUUAUUUGCCUCAAAGUCCAACACUAUGAAAUCCACUAGGAAAAAGAAUUUAUCCACUUUAACCAGCACGUCUUCAAUCUUACCUUCAGGAUAAGCAUGAGAUCUAGCAGCACAUUGCAAUGUCACUGUGGCUGGUCUGACUUCUCCAACUCCCAAUUGCUUGAAUUCUAAUAAUGUCAUAAGAUUGAUGCUUGGUCCCAAAUAGGGAUGACAAUUGUACCCGCAAACCCGCCCAAACCCACCUGCCAAAACCCGCCCGUUGCGGGUAAUUUUACCCAUUGCGGGCGGGUUUAGUAUUAUAAAUUAAAACCCGCGCAUGGAUGUGGGUGGGUUUGGUAUUAACCUUAUAUCCGGUGGAUACCCGCAUGGAUAUCCACCAAACCCGCAAUAUUUUUUUUCAAAUAUUUUUAAUUUAAUUUAAAUAUAAAAAUGUAUAAAGAAAAUAAUGUCAUUAAUCAAAUUACCAAAUAGACAAAGGCUCAAAGUUGUGUAUGUGUGUAUGUGGCCCAUCUCUUAUUCUAAAGUCAUAACCUAAAGAAAACUAAAGGCAUUUCCCUUCGAAUUAGUAUUUGAAAAUAUUAAUCUUAAUUAUUAUUAUAGGCAUUGUGUUGGAUGGGUGCUUAUGGUGGUGAAUGAAAUGAAUAUCUUCUCUUGGAUCUUGUUUUAAAUGAUAAUAUGAAAUGUAAUUAUUAUUUUUAGAUACUAGUUUGUGUUUUUAAAAUGGAUUUGUGUAAUUUAUACUUAAAUUUGAGAAUUUGUAUUGAAUUGAUGUGGAAAUUUUAAUUUUUCAUUGACAUUGUUUAAAUAUAAAAUUGAGUAUGCUAUUUGGAAUUUGAGGUUAUUAUUAUAAAUUUAUAUAUUAAAUAUUUGUGAUUUUAAAUACGAAAACCCGCAAAAAAUCUGCCGGAUACUAUUGCGGGUUUGGUAAUUAUUAAAACCCGCUGCGGGUGGGUUUUUAAAAAAAAAUUAAAACCCGCGGCGGGUUGCGGGUGGGUUUGGUAAUUUAAAUUUUGUGCGGGUUUGGGUUUGAUAAUGGCAAAUCCGCUGCGGGCGGUGCCCAUUGCCAUCCCUAGUCCCAAAUCACAAAGUGUCUUGCCACUGUAUUUAGUUCCUAUGGAACAACGAAUUGUGAAACUUCCUGGAUCAUUCAACUUCUGAGGCAUUUUACUCUGAAGCAUAUGGCUGAAUUCUUGUGUUAGACCAACUAUUUCAAAUUCUCCGAGCCUCAUUUUCCUUGCCAAUAUACAUUUCCAAAACUUUACAUAAUUUGGCAUUUGUUCUAAUGCUUCCACAAAAGGAAUGUUGAUAUGCAGUUAUUUCAAUACUUCCAAGAAUUUACUGAACUGCUUGUCUUGCUUUCGCUUUUGAAAUCUUCGUGGGAAGGAUGGUGGAUGUGUAAAUUGUUGUACUGCAGCAGACUAUACAUAUUGCUUUUCUCUUGCUCUAUUAUGGUAUGUUAUUGUUGGUGCUGCAGCUUCUUCCUCAACAAGCACUGAAUCAUGUUUUUUUUGCAGUUGCUAUAACUUAGCAACUCUCACCAGUGUGCUGGAAAAUGGGUUGUUGUGUCUCUUCUUUAAUUUGAGUUUCCCCUUGGGUUGAAUUAGGUUCCACUCUUCUUUUUAGUACUUUAACAAGUAUAUGAACAUCCUUUCCAGACCUUAAGUUAAUCCCCUUACAAUGCUCUUUUCCUUCUCUCUUUCGAUCCUCUGUAUUGUUUAGUAAAUUGUCCUAAGGUAUGUUGCUCAAUGUUGUAGCAAGCUGUCCAAUCUUAUUCUCCAAGUUUCUUAAAAAUACAGCUUGGCUUUAGACCACUACUUCAAUCUUCACAAUAUACUCCUUAAUCAGAGUUUCAAUGGAACUAAAUUGAUCAUUACUGGUGUUUCUUUACCCUUAAAAUUUCUGGUGAAAAUCAGGUGGCUGAGCAAGUCAGUUCUGUCCACUGGAUGCUGCAGCAUGCUGAUUCUGAUUGCUCCUUUUAAAAUUUGGGUGAUGUCUCCAUCCUAGGUUAUAGGUGUUUGAAAAUGGAUUGCUUUGAUUUUGUUUAUUAAAAUUGCCCACAUAAUUGACGGAAGCUGAAUUCCUAGGACAAUUAUCAUAUAGAUGUCCCUCUCCAUAAUAAACACAAGAGACUUCAGCAAUUUGGUUAACUGUUGUUGGAGCAGUGGCCGUUGCUUUUACCAUAUUUGUCAAUGAGGUUACUUGGGCUGAUAAUGUUGUCAGUGCAUCCACAUUGUGUACUCCUGCUGCUCCUCUCACUAUGGCUUGUCUAGUUGAUGGCCAUUGAUAGUUAUCCUUUCUAAAAUUUCAUAAGCCUCAUUAUAUGAGUUAGACAAUAAAGCCCCUAGUUAUUGAGUUCAACCCAUUGUAGAAAGUUUCCAAUUGUAUGCAAUAAGGAAUACCAUGAUGAGGGCAUCUCCUGAGUAACUCCUUGAAUCUUUCUCAUGCAUCAUACAAGCUUUCAUCUUCAAGUUGAUGGAAAGAUGUGAUCUCAUUCUUCAACUUUGCAUUCUUUGUUGGUGGGAAAUAUUUCAUCAAAAUUUUGUCAGCCAAAUAAUUUCAUGUGGUGAUGGAGUCUGGUUGUAAAGAACUCCACUGUACCAACUAAAAUUGAUUUCACAAAACACAAUAAGCACCAAUCCCUGGCAACGGCGCAAAAAACUUGUUGUCGAUUUUCUAAUGCUAUUAGUGUCAAUGUGAAAAUGUACACAACAAGUAAUAUAACGAUAAGUAUUCACUCCACAAGGAUUAUUAUUAUAGGAAUUGCUACAGUAAUUCUAUCAGUGCCAUUCUUAUUAUAAAUUAGAAUUUUAAACAAAUUAUUCAACUAAUGAACUAAGGCAGAUCUUAUUGGGCUAGUCGGCAAUGUGUUGCUUUAGGUCGUGUGGAAUAGUUGCGGGAGUGAUCUUGCAUGAUGUGUGGAGCUAUAACAGUGCUGAGCAUGGGCCAAUCUAUGGGCUCAUGGAACUAGCGAACCUAAUCUAGAAUUUCGAGGAAGAGUACUCUGGUUAGUACUCUAAAUUACCUUAUUAUAUUUUGCACAAACAGAGGCAUGUUAGUGAAAUAAUAUCUAAGCAACCCAAGAGGGGGUGAAUUGGGUUUCUAAAAAUUAUGCAAUUCUUAAACAAAACUUAAUGCAAAUCUUAAACGAAUUUAAAGUAAUAAUAAAUAAAUCAACCAAAGUAUAAAAAGAUAAGGGAAGAUAGAUUAAAAAACAGAGAGUUUUACGUGGUUCGGCCAACCUUGCCUACAUCCACGCCCCCAAGCACACCGAGCUUGGGCAUUCCACUAGUCAAGCCUUCAAGGCUUCAAGAACACUUACAAUUGACUUCUUAGGUGUCAAUCAACCUUUACAUCUAGAGAUUAUCCUCAAUCUCUUAACCCAAGUGUAUCCCAACAUUUACAAUCACUCAAAAAUAAAGAUUACAAAAUUUAUUUUUCUCCCACACAAUUUUUUAAGAUUACAAAUCAACGCUUAAUGUGUGAAUAAAUGAACAAGAAUAAUUUGAAACUCAAUGAAUGUUGUAUUCUCGAUUAUAAGCUCAAUGAUAACGUAUGUGAUAAGCUCUUGUUUGAAUUUGAUUGAGCUUAUUUAUAGUUAGAGUUGAAAAAUAGCCAUGUUGACUUUUUCCCGAAAUUGGAUCGCCGUUAACCGUUAUCGGUUAACCGUUUUGACUGGUCAAGUGACCGUUGAGCUGAAUUUCAAAUAAACGGUUGAUCUUUUGACAUUAUCGGUUUGCUGUUAAUUUCCAUAAACCUGUAAAACAAAUUUAUGCUAUCCGUUCUUGCUAAACGGUUGAAGGUCAGCAUGGAAUGACAUUCUAGAAAUUAUUGGUUGGCCGUUUGAAGUUCACGGUUCACCGUUUACUUCUAGAAUCACAGUUUUAACCAAAUUUCGCAGGGAAUGCUUUUUCGGUUAAAGUUAACGAUUAUCCAUAUUUCAUGAGCACAUUUAGAAAAUCAUACGACUUUUGAGAAAUUGUUUAGUAAUGAAAAACUCUAACAUUUUAAUCAAAUACAUUUAAAGUUUGUUAUCAUCAAAAUCAAUAUAAUGAACAUCUACAUGUUAACAGUUAGGCCUUGAUUAUUUUUUAAAUCUUAUAAGAUAUAGAGUGAUAAUAGUAACUCAAUUUUCAUAAAACGUGGAAAGAUCAGUCGCCAAAUUUAUAGAUGCCAUAGAAAAUCUAGAUUUUAGUAAGGAAUAUCAAGUUAUUUAUACAAUGAAAAUUGUUAAAACUCGAUUAAUUGCAAGGAAACACUUUUAGAGAGAUAUGGAGAGAAUAAACUUUGAAGAUAACAAUGAAAUACAUGACACUUAAGGAAGAAAAAUAUAAUAGUAUUAAUAGAAUCUAUUUUAACCGGUCUUAAGAUAAUUCAAGAUUGAUGCAAAAUAAAUAACAGGACUCUAAACCGUCCAUAAUAAGUCUAUUGAUUAAUAAUAACAAUAAUAGUGAUGUGAAAUUUUUUAUUCAGAAUGCUCAAUUUAGAUUAUAAUAUCUAUGUGAAAGCAUUGAUGGCAUGUACCUUGGUUAGGAAAAUAGAUUGGACACAUGGAUAUAUAUGUUGGAAGAACAAAUCUAGUUUAUAUCUCAAGAGAGAUAAUAAAUUAUAAAUGACGGUGCUAUAGUAUAUUCAGAUUUUAUAAAUCUUUAUAAAUUUAAUAAUCAUUUAGAUCUUCAUAAUAUUAUAAUAAAACUUUAAAAAACUUUAAAAAUAUAUGUAGAAGAGAUGGAAGAAGAAAUCAUCCAAUUAUUCAAAAUCAAUUAAACAAAAAUAGAAGGUAAAAUCCUUGAAUUAUAUAAAUUAUACAAUUUUCACAGAAAUUUUGCAUAUAUUGCGAAACGGUCCUUGUGGCACUAAUUAUGGGACUAGUGUAGCAUAAAUACUAAUAUUGCUUUUUAUUUUGUAAAUUAAUUGUUGCGUCAUAAUGUUUUUACAUACACAUUUUUGUUUUAAAAUAUGAAUUUUUUUUUUGUAUUUAGGGUUAAUUUUACAAUUUCAUACUUUGUUCAAUUAUAUGUACAGGUCCUUAACGUGUUGGUUGAUGUUGAAUAUUCAAAGAUCCACAAGCUAUCAACGACAACGAAUCAAAUUAAACUAAUUAGUUAAUACAUAAUGACUGGGUGUUUCCUAUGCUUGUUAAUGAUGUUAGGACGUUAUUUUAGGGAUUUUAGAAUUUUAAUUAUUAGGUCUUCUGAUAUUUUCUUUUUUAAUUAAAGUCAGUGUCUUAGUUUUUUAUUUAUUUAUGUUAUAAUUAUAAUUUACUUUCUCUUUUUAAGUUAACUUAGGAAAAUAUAUUUACUGUAUUAUAAAUAAAGAGAUCUUGUUAUUACUUUAUAACUUCAACUUCAGUUAUUCAAUUAAAAACCCCUCUUUUAAAGUUGUUUGAUUAGAGCAUCAUCUAGCCUUGCUAACGCAGUAUUAAAUAUCCCUUUUGAGUUUAAUCACACUUCGAUUAGAGCGUAACUUAAUCGCAUUGACUUGGUCCAGUACUUGAACGAUAUCUAGUGUUUUGCUUCCGCUAUGCCCAAGGAGAAAAUUAAUUUCACCGUGAGAUAAGAGCAUUAAAAGGAAUUCAUAAGAAAUUGGGAAAAUAUCCACCGUCCACUUGAUUUUGUCCACUUUUUUAAAAUACACAAAUCUUAAUUUUUUUGCUGCGCUACACCUAAACUUAUAUUUUUUUUUCACAUUUCCACCUCCGUUUGCAAAUUGUCAAAACGUUGCUGACGUCAUAAGGAUAAAAUAAUAAUUUCACUUGGGCUUCAAAAAACAAAGUCGUUUAAGAUCUGUAAUUUUAACCUUUUCGUUUGAUUCUGGAGUAAGGUUGGCCCUACAAACCGGGCAUGUUCACGUGAGAGGCUAAGUAGACAUCGAUGCAAUGAGGAUGGAACACGUGAUCACAUUUGGAAGUAAACGCAACGUUUCGUCAUCCUCAAACUCGCUUAAACACACGACACAUUCCAGAGCACCUUUCCCAAUUUUCAGAUCCUUCACCGCAGAGUAGACGAAGAUAGGGAAAGACUCGAUGACGGAAGGAUCGAGGCCGCGGUUUCUGGAGACAAUUUAAAGGCAAUUUAACGUUGAGAGAGAUGUCAACGUUAACGUACUGUGUUCGCUGAAGUAGGGAGAGCUUUGCGAGUUACGGACGUCUUGAGAGAUGCAGGUGCGGCAAACUGAAUGAGCGUUUGCUGCUGUGCUGAAGGCACUAGCAAUGGAAGCCGGCAGUUCGGGGACGCGACACAUGCGUUCACAAGUGGGGUUCGUUAAAGUUGGUGGUGAGGGUAUGGGAUUGGGCGAUGGUUGGAAUUCGAACGGAAGGAACCUGUUGACAGCAGUUAAAUCGCCGUUAAAUUUUUUGAUUUCACCGUCUAGUUCGCGACCCACCUCGAUAUCUCCGCUUUAGUUUGUGGGUGGUGGACAAUCUUGCCGUUUGUUUAUUUGCGCUAACUGUUCAUCUUGCCGUUGUUUUCUUUCUCAUUUUAAAAUUUCAUUUUCUGUUGUUAUUGGGACAAAAAUGUAGGAGGAUUUGGAGAAUAUAUGCAUAAUUCAGGGAGGGACAGUGUCGUAGUUACAGAACAAAUUCGAGGCCAAUUAAUGCCAGAGGAAUUGGAUGUGCCGCGCACUGCGAAUCAAUGCCGGAGGAAAUGGAUUCAUUGCUUGAUGAGUACNNNNNNNNNNNNNNNNNNNNNNNNNNNNNNNNNNNNNNNNNNNNNNNNNNNNNNNNNNNNNNNNNNNNNNNNNNNNNNNNNNNNNNNNNNNNNNNNNNNNNNNNNNNNNNNNNNNNNNNNNNNNNNNNNNNNNNNNNNNNNNNNNNNNNNNNNNNNNNNNNNNNNNNNNNNNNNNNNNNNNNNNNNNNNNNNNNNNNNNNNNNNNNNNNNNNNNNNNNNNNNNNNNNNNNNNNNNNNNNNNNNNNNNNNNNNNNNNNNNNNNNNNNNNNNNNNNNNNNNNNNNNNNNNNNNNNNNNNNNNNNNNNNNNNNNNNNNNNNNNNNNNNNNNNNNNNNNNNNNNNNNNNNNNNNNNNNNNNNNNNNNNNNNNNNNNNNNNNNNNNNNNNNNNNNNNNNNNNNNNNNNNNNNNNNNNNNNNNNNNNNNNNNNNNNNNNNNNNNNNNNNNNNNNNNNNNNNNNNNNNNNNNNNNNNNNNNNNNNNNNNNNNNNNNNNNNNNNNNNNNNNNNNNNNNNNNNNNNNNNNNNNNNNNNNNNNNNNNNNNNNNNNNNNNNNNNNNNNNNNNNNNNNNNNNNNNNNNNNNNNNNNNNNNNNNNNNNNNNNNNNNNNNNNNNNNNNNNNNNNNNNNNNNNNNNNNNNNNNNNNNNNNNNNNNNNNNNNNNNNNNNNNNNNNNNNNNNNNNNNNNNNNNNNNNNNNNNNNNNNNNNNNNNNNNNNNNNNNNNNNNNNNNNNNNNNNNNNNNNNNNNNNNNNNNNNNNNNNNNNNNNNNNNNNNNNNNNNNNNNNNNNNNNNNNNNNNNNNNNNNNNNNNNNNNNNNNNNNNNNNNNNNNNNNNNNNNNNNNNNNNNNNNNNNNNNNNNNNNNNNNNNNNNNNNNNNNNNNNNNNNNNNNNNNNNNNNNNNNNNNNNNNNNNNNNNNNNNNNNNNNNNNNNNNNNNNNNNNNNNNNNNNNNNNNNNNNNNNNNNNNNNNNNNNNNNNNNNNNNNNNNNNNNNNNNNNNNNNNNNNNNNNNNNNNNNNNNNNNNNNNNNNNNNNNNNNNNNNNNNNNNNNNNNNNNNNNNNNNNNNNNNNNNNNNNNNNNNNNNNAUUUUUAUGGGUCAGGCUCAAUUGCAGAUGUUCGUACAAAAUUUCUUGCUAAUGUAUACUUGAGUAUGAUAAUAAGUUUUAAUCAUUAUUAAUAAUUCACUUGAUAAUAUUAAACAAAUUUUCAUAUCAAUUAAGUUACAAAAUUUCUGUGACAAAUUUCCACGUACUGGAACCAUGCAAAAGGACUUUAUUCAAACAAAGCUGCAUAGCCGUUGGCAAUUAAAAUUAUUUAUCAAUUAAGUUAAGUAGUAAGAAUUGGAUUGUGGAUUCCAUUAAUUAUUUCAAGGAAAAUUUUAUAGAUAAUGCCGUAAUGAAAUUUACGGCAUCAAUACCAUGAUAAAUAUAAAUAUUGUAAAUUACAAAGAGAAUUAGUAAAGGUAAAGUAAAACCAGUAAAUUCAUAAAAGAUUAUUAAUUAUUUAAAAAAUUAACAUUGUUUCUACAUAAUUUUAGUGAAAAAUAUUUUAUUCAUUUACAAAAACAUUUCUUUAAUUAAACAAAAAAAAUUCAUUAAUUAAGCAAAAAAAUUAUACUGAAAAAAAAAAGUGGAAUAAGUUUAAUUGAAUUGGUUUAUCAAAAUUCUAUAUUUAGUCUAGGACAUUUGUAUACAUUUUUUUUCCCAUUUUCGAUAAUGAUAUCUAUUUGUUACACAUGUUAAUUAAGUGCAAUUAUUUAUCUUGAUGUGGACCAAGUAAAAAAAAAAAAAAAAAAGAGAUAUCAAUAAAAUUAGAUCUAGUUUUGAAUAUUAUGUAUACUUUAUGUAGUUUCAAACUUUUUACUUGUAUUUGGAGACCAUUUAAGGUUGUUGUUGAAGAAGUGUAGAAAGAUGUAAAAUAACUUCAUCUUACAACAACUAUGAAAGAUAUUAAUAAUAUUUUUUUCAAAAUCCGAUUUUGAGAAAAAAAUUUCAUCCUUAAUUAAACAUCACAUGUAUUAUAGAAAUGAAAAACUACCAUUGUUAUAUUUAAAUUAAAAAAUAAUAAAUAUAUAAGGUAAUAAACAUUAUAACGAGUUUUUAUUUUAAAAUUGUAAACUUUUGUUUCUGACAAUAACUCUUAUAUUAAUUAAUUUAUUUUGCAUUUUAUUCAUAAGUUUUAUGCAUAAUCUACAAACUUUAUGUUUUAUUUUGCAUUUAAUGUUGAUUUGGUUUUUUUAUAUUAUACGUAUAAGUUUUCAUUUUAUUUACCAGUAAUACAUCAAUUUAUCAGUUUUAUUGUAAUUUACUUAUUUUACCUUCCUUUUACAAUUCUUAUGUUUCAUUUUCAAAAUUUAUGUUUUAUUUUACAGUUGUUGAUGAUUUACUAGUUUUAUGUUAUGUUUGCAAGUUUUUGUUUUGUUUACUAGUAAUAGAUUAAUGGGUAAUUUUUAAUUGAGUCCUCAUUAGUUCUAGAAAAAAAAUUCAGAGACCAGAAAGUUUACUAAAUGAAUCAAUUAAAUUCUUUCAAGUACAAACUAAUGUCAUUCAAGUCCUUAACUUAAUUGCUCAGUUAAAAUAUUAACAACAUUGAGGACAUUUUAGUAAAACCACAAUUGAGUCGUUUCAUUCUUUAUUUUUGACAGGUGGAAAUAGUUUAAAGUUAACUCAAUUAACCUGAUUAAGUUAAGGAUCAGUUCUUUCAAAAGAACAAAAAAAAGACCUACAGAAACUGCCAUAUUCUUCGUGUGAGAGGAGAGAUCGAGAGAACGUGGGAUGGUGCAAAAAAUGUUGUAUAAAUCUACUGUGAUUUUGACCAAAGCUUUGGUAGCAUUGAUUGAGUUCAAGUACUGGAGAGAACCUGAGUUUAAAGGUUAGUAACUCUAUUUUUUUAGUGAUUUCCGCAAGCAUUUUCUGAUAAAAAAUUUUCCAUAUUGAGUGAUCGUUGUGAAAAAUUUAAGUUUUUCAAGUCUAUUUUUGAAAAUGACAAACUAUGUUUAAUUAUUGGUGGAUUCUUUUUUUUGUUCAAUAUUGUAUUUUGUUAAUUUGUUGUUUUUAAUUUGCUCUUUAUGUAAUUGUUAGACCAAAUACACCAUUAUUAUACUUGUAUUCAUUUCAACAAUUUUGGUAUCAUUAUAUUAAUAAGAUUGAAUUCAUUGUAUUUGCUUCUUUGUUCAUGUAAAAUUGAAUUCUAUGUAUUCUUAUGAGUGAUAAUUUUUCUAUCUAUUAGACUAAAUUCACUAUAUUCACUACUUUCUUUCCUUUUUGCUGGGCUAUUUUUUCUUUUUAGUUUAUAUUUUUUAUAUGUAUUAGAUUGAAUUUGCUUUUGUAUGUUUUUUUUCGCCAAAUUGCAUGUAUAUUUCAUUUAGUUGAGUUUUUUUUGUUGUUUGCUAAAUAAAAGUAUAUUGGUUUAAUCCUUUUUUGAGGCAAUACUUUUGUUUAAAAUUAAUACAGGUAGCCAUGUUACCUUUUUUUCGGUUAAAAAUUAAUGGGGUGAUGUAUGCGAUAGGAUAUAGGGAACCAGAGGAAUAUAAGAUUAUUAGGCUGUUCUUGAAAUUCAAGAUGUCAUGGUUAAGCAUGGACACAUUGAAAUGGGAUUUGAUUGAAAUUUUUGUUGUAUUGCCAAUGGACUACAAGUAGGCAGAGGAAGCUAAUUUCAAACGAUAGUGAAUUGUAUUGGGUUUUCGAGGAGUUUUUUUUAUCAAUAGUUGUCCUGUCAUUGAGUUUGAGGUGCACACUGGGUCAGGUGGUCAGUCAUUUCAUGAAAGUGUUGUAAUAGGACCUGAAAAUCCUGUCAAUAUUAAAAAUUAGCGUUGUAAUAGUGAUAAGUUUGAAAAUCCUGUGGCUAAAAAAGGGUUUGCCUAGAAUAAUUGGUUCUUCUUUAUUUGCCUCAAAGUCCAACACUAUGAAAUCCACUAGGAAAAAGAAUUUAUCCACUUUAACCAGCACGUCUUCAAUCUUACCUUCAGGAUAAGCAUGAGAUCUAGCAGCACAUUGCAAUGUCACUGUGGCUGGUCUGACUUCUCCAACUCCCAAUUGCUUGAAUUCUAAUAAUGUCAUAAGAUUGAUGCUUGGUCCCAAAUAGGGAUGACAAUUGUACCCGCAAACACCGCCCAAACCCACCUGCCAAAACCGCCCGUUGCGGGUAAUUUUAACCCAUUGCGGGCGGGUUUAGUAUUAUAAAUUAAAAACCCGCGCAUGGAUGUGGGUGGGUUUGGUAUUAACCUUAUAUCCGGUGGAUACCCGCAUGGAUAUCCACCAAACCCGCAAUAUUUUUUUUCAAAUAUUUUUUAAUUUAAUUUAAAUAUAAAAAUGUAUAAAGAAAAUAAUGUCAUUAAUCAAAUUACCAAAAUAGACAAAGGCUCAAAGUUGUGUAUGUGUGUAUGUGGCCCAUCUCUUAUUCUAAAGUCAUAACCUAAAGAAAACUAAAGGCAUUUCCCUUCGAAAUUAGUAUUUGAAAAUAUUAAUCUUAAUUAUUAUUAUAGGCAUUGUGUUGGAUGGGUGCUUAUGGUGGUGAAUGAAAUGAAUAUCUUCUCUUGGAUCUUGUUUUAAAUGAUAAUAUGAAAUGUAAUUAUUAUUUUAGAUACUAGUUUGUGUUUUUAAAAUGGAUUUGUGUAAUUUAUACUUAAAUUUGAGAAUUUGUAUUGAAUUGAUGUGGAAAUUUUAAUUUUCAUUUGACAUUGUUUAAAUAUAAAAUUGAGUAUGCUAUUUGGAAUUUGAGGUUAUUAUUAUAAAUUUAUAUAUUAAAAUAUUUGUGAUUUUAAAUACGAAAACCCGCAAAAAAUCUGCCGGAUACUAUUGCGGGUUUGGUAAUUAUUAAAACCCGCUGCGGGUGGGUUUUUAAAAAAAAAAUUAAAACCCGCGGCGGGUUGCGGGUGGGUUUGGUAAUUUAAAUUUUGUGCGGGUUUGGGUUUGAUAAUGGCAAAUCCGCUGCGGGCGGUGCCCAUUGCCAUCCCUAGUCCCAAAUCACAAAGUGUCUUGCCACUGUAUUUAGUUCCUAUGGAACAACGAAUUGUGAAACUUCCUGGAUCAUUCAACUUCUGAGGCAUUUUACUCUGAAGCAUAUGGCUGAAUUCUUGUGUUAGACCAACUAUUUCAAAUUCUCCGAGCCUCAUUUUCCUUGCCAAUAUACAUUUCCAAAACUUUACAUAAUUUGGCAUUUGUUUCUAAUGCUUCCACAAAAGGAAUGUUGAUAUGCAGUUAUUUCAAUACUUCCAAGAAUUUACUGAACUGCUUGUCUUGCUUUCGCUUUUGAAAUCUUCGUGGGAAGGAUGGUGGAUGUGUAAAUUGUUGUACUGCAGCAGACUAUACAUAUUGCUUUUCUCUUGCUCUAUUAUGGUAUGUUUAUUGUUGGUGCUGCAGCUUCUUCCUCAACAAGCACUGAAUCAUGUUUUUUUUUGCAGUUGCUAUAACUUAGCAACUCUCACCAGUGUGCUGGAAAAUGGGUUGUUGUGUCUCUUCUUUAAUUUGAGUUUCCCCUUGGGUUGAAUUAGGUUCCACUCUUCUUUUUAGUACUUUAACAAGUAUAUGAACAUCCCUUUCCAGACCUUAAGUUAAUCCCCUUACAAUGCUCUUUUCCUUCUCUCUUUCGAUCCUCUGUAUUGUUUAGUAAAUUGUCCUAAGGUAUGUUGCUCAAUGUUGUAGCAAGCUGUCCAAUCUUAUUCUCCAAGUUUCUUAAAAAUACAGCUUGGCUUUAGACCACUACUUCAAUCUUCACAAUAUACUCCUUAAUCAGAGUUUCAAUGGAACUAAAUUGAUCAUUACUGGUGUUUCUUUACCCUUAAAAUUUCUGGUGAAAAUCAGGUGGCUGAGCAAGUCAGUUCUGUCCACUGGAUGCUGCAGCAUGCUGAUUCUGAUUGCUCCUUUUUAAAAUUUGGGUGAUGUCUCCAUCCUAGGUUAUAGGUGUUUGAAAAAUGGAUUGCUUUGAUUUUGUUUAUUAAAAUUGCCCACAUAAUUGACGGAAGCUGAAUUCCUAGGACAAUUAUCAUAUAGAUGUCCCUCUCCAUAAUAAACACAAGAGACUUCAGCAAUUUGGUUAACUGUUGUUGGAGCAGUGGCCGUUGCUUUUACCAUAUUUGUCAAUGAGGUUACUUGGGCUGAUAAUGUUGUCAGUGCAUCCACAUUGUGUACUCCUGCUGCUCCUCUCACUAUGGCUUGUCUAGUUGAUGGCCAUUGAUAGUUAUCCUUUCUAAAAUUUCAUAAGCCUCAUUAUAUGAGUUAGACAAUAAAGCCCCUAGUUAUUGAGUUCAACCCAUUGUAGAAAGUUUCCAAUUGUAUGCAAUAAGGAAUACCAUGAUGAGGGCAUCUCCUGAGUAACUCCUUGAAUCUUUCUCAUGCAUCAUACAAGCUUUCAUCUUCAAGUUGAUGGAAAGAUGUGAUCUCAUUCUUCAACUUUGCAUUCUUUGUUGGUGGGAAAUAUUUCAUCAAAAUUUUGUCAGCCAAAUAAUUUCAUGUGGUGAUGGAGUCUGGUUGUAAAGAACUCCACUGUACCAACUAAAAUUGAUUUCACAAAACACAAUAAGCACCAAUCCCUGGCAACGGCGCAAAAAACUUGUUGUCGAUUUUCUAAUGCUAUUAGUGUCAAUGUGAAAAUGUACACAACAAGUAAUAUAACGAUAAGUAUUCACUCCACAAGGAUUAUUAUUAUAGGAAUUGCUACAGUAAUUCUAUCAGUGCCAUUCUUAUUAUAAAUUAGAAUUUAAACAAAUUAUUCAACUAAUGAACUAAGGCAGAUCUUAUUGGGCUAGUCGGCAAUGUGUUGCUUUAGGUCGUGUGGAAUAGUUGCGGGAGUGAUCUUGCAUGAUGUGUGGAGCUAUAACAGUGCUGAGCAUGGGCCAAUCUAUGGGCUCAUGGAACUAGCGAACCUAAUCUAGAAUUUCGAGGAAGAGUACUCUGGUUAGUACUCUAAAUUACCUUAUUAUAUUUUGCACAAACAGAGGCAUGUUAGUGAAAUAAUAUCUAAGCAACCCAAGAGGGGGGUGAAUUGGGUUUCUAAAAAUUAUGCAAUUCUUAAACAAAACUUAAUGCAAAUCUUAAACGAAUUUAAAGUAAUAAUAAAUAAAUCAACCAAAGUAUAAAAAGAUAAGGGAAGAUAGAUUAAAAAACAGAGAGUUUUACGUGGUUCGGCCAACCUUGCCUACAUCCACGCCCCCAAGCACACCGAGCUUGGGCAUUCCACUAGUCAAGCCUUCAAGGCUUCAAGAACACUUACAAUUGACUUCUUAGGUGUCAAUCAACCUUUACAUCUAGAGAUUAUCCUCAAUCUCUUAACCCAAGUGUAUCCCAACAUUUACAAUCACUCAAAAUAAAGAUUACAAAUUUAUUUUUCUCCCACACAAUUUUUUAAGAUUACAAAUCAACGCUUAAUGUGUGAAUAAAUGAACAAGAAUAAAUUUGAAACUCAAUGAAUGUUGUAUUCUCGAUUAUAAGCUCAAUGAUAACGUUGUGAUAAGCUCUUGUUUGAAUUUGAUUGAGCUUAUUUAUAGUUAGAGUUGAAAAAUAGCCAUUGUUGACUUUUUCCCGAAAUUGGAUCGCCGUUAACCGUUAUCGGUUAACCGUUUUGACUGGUCCAAGUGACCGUUGAGCUGAAUUUCAAAUAAACGGUUGAUCUUUUGACAUUAUCGGUUUGCUGUUAAUUUCCAUAAACCUGUAAAACAAAUUUAUGCUAUCCGUUCUUGCUAAACGGUUGAAGGUCAGCAUGGAAUGACAUUCUAGAAAUUAUUGGUUGGCCGUUUGAAGUUCACGGUUCACCGUUUACUUCUAGAAUCACAGUUUUAACCAAAUUUCGCAGGGAAUGCUUUUUCGGUUAAAGUUAACGAUUAUCCAUAUUUCAUGAGCACAUUUAGAAAAAUCAUACGACUUUUGAGAAAUUGUUUAGUAAUGAAAACUCUAACAUUUUAAUCAAAUACAUUUAAAGUUUGUUAUCAUCAAAAUCAAUAUAAUGAACAUCUACAUGUUAACAGUUAGGCCUUGAUUAUUUUUUAAAUCUUAUAAGAUAUAGAGUGAUAAUAGUAACUCAAUUUUCAUAAAACGUGGAAAGAUCAGUCGCCAAAUUUAUAGAUGCCAUAGAAAAUCUAGAUUUUAGUAAGGAAUAUCAAGUUAUUUAUACAAUGAAAAUUGUUAAAACUCGAUUAAUUGCAAGGAAACACUUUUAGAGAGAUAUGGAGAGAAUAAACUUUGAAGAUAACAAUGAAAUACAUGACACUUAAGGAAGAAAAUAUAAUAGUAUUAAUAGAAUCUAUUUUAACCGGUCUUAAGAUAAUUCAAGAUUGAUGCAAAAUAAAUAACAGGACUCUAAACCGUCCAUAAUAAGUCUAUUGAUUAAUAAUAACAAUAAUAGUGAUGUGAAAUUUUUUAUUCAGAAUGCUCAAUUUAGAUUAUAAUAUCUAUGUGAAAGCAUUGAUGGCAUGUACCUUGGUUAGGAAAAUAGAUUGGACACAUGGAUAUAUAUGUUGGAAGAACAAAUCUAGUUUAUAUCUCAAGAGAGAUAAUAAAUUAUAAAUGACGGUGCUAUAGUAUAUUCAGAUUUUAUAAAUCUUUAUAAAUUUAAUAAUCAUUUAGAUCUUCAUAAUAUUAUAAUAAAACUUUAAAAAACUUUAAAAAUAUAUGUAGAAGAGAUGGAAGAAGAAAUCAUCCAAUUAUUCAAAAUCAAUUAAACAAAAAUAGAAGGUAAAAUCCUUGAAUUAUAUAAAUUAUACAAUUUUCACAGAAAUUUUGCAUAUAUUGCGAAACGGUCCUUGUGGCACUAAUUAUGGGACUAGUGUAGCAUAAAUACUAAUAUUGCUUUUUAUUUUGUAAAUUAAUUGUUGCGUCAUAAUGUUUUUACAUACACAUUUUUUGUUUUAAAAUAUGAAUUUUUUUUUUUGUAUUUAGGGUUAAUUUUACAAUUUCAUACUUUGUUCAAUUAUAUGUACAGGUCCUUAACGUGUUGGUUGAUGUUGAAUAUUCAAAGAUCCACAAGCUAUCAACGACAACGAAUCAAAUUAAACUAAUUAGUUAAUACAUAAUGACUGGGUUGUUUCCUAUGCUUGUUAAUGAUGUAGGACGUUAUUUUAGGAUUUUAGAAUUUUAAUUAUUAGGUCUUCUGAUAUUUUCUUUUUUAAUUAAAGUCAGUGUCUUAGUUUUUUAUUUAUUUAUGUUAUAAUUAUAAUUUACUUUCUCUUUUUAAGUUAACUUAGGAAAAUAUAUUUACUGUAUUAUAAAUAAAGAGAUCUUGUUAUUACUUUAUAACUUCAACUUCAGUUAUUCAAUUAAAAACCCCUCUUUUAAAGUUGUUUGAUUAGAGCAUCAUCUAGCCUUGCUUAACGCAGUAUUAAAUAUCCCUUUGAGUUUAAUCACACUUCGAUUAGAGCGUAACUUAAUCGCAUUGACUUGGUCCAGUACUUGAACGAUAUCUAGUGUUUUGCUUCCGCUAUGCCCAAGGAGAAAAUUAAUUUCACCGUGAGAUAAGAGCAUUAAAAGGAAUUCAUAAGAAAUUGGGAAAAUAUCCACCGUCCACUUGAUUUUGUCCACUUUUUUAAAAAUACACAAAUCUUAAUUUUUUUUGCUGCGCUACACCUAAACUUAUAUUUUUUUUUCACAUUUCCACCUCCGUUUGCAAAUUGUCAAAACGUUGCUGACGUCAUAAGGAUAAAAUAAUAAUUUCACUUGGGCUUCAAAAACAAAGUCGUUUAAGAUCUGUAAUUUAACCUUUUCGUUUGAUUCUGGAGUAAGGUUGGCCCUACAAACCGGGCAUGUCACGUGAGAGGCUAAGUAGACAUCGAUGCAAUGAGGAUGGAACACGUGAUCACAUUUUGGAAGUAAACGCAACGUUUCGUCAUCCUCAAACUCGCUUAAACACACGACACAUUCCAGAGCACCUUUCCCAAUUUUCAGAUCCUUCACCGCAGAGUAGACGAAGAUAGGGAAAGACUCGAUGACGGAAGGAUCGAGGCCGCGGUUUCUGGAGACAAUUUAAAGGCAAUUUAACGUUGAGAGAGAUGUCAACGUUAACGUACUGUGUUCGCUGAAGUAGGGAGAGCUUUGCGAGUUACGGACGUCUUGAGAGAUGCAGGUGCGGCAAACUGAAUGAGCGUUUGCUGCUGUGCUGAAGGCACUAGCAAUGGAAGCCGGCAGUUCGGGGACGCGACACAUGCGUUCACAAGUGGGGUUCGUUAAAGUUGGUGGUGAGGGUAUGGGAUUGGGCGAUGGUUGGAAUUCGAACGGAAGGAACCUGUUGACAGCAGUUAAAUCGCCGUUAAAUUGUUUUGAUUUCACCGUCUAGUUCGCGACCCACCUCGAUAUCUCCGCUUUAGUUUGUGGGUGGUGGACAAUCUUGCCGUUUGUUUAUUUGCGCUAACUGUUCAUCUUGCCGUUUGUUUUCUUUCUCAUUUUAAAAUUUCAUUUUCUCUGUUGUUAUUGGGACAAAAAUGUAGGAGGAUUUGGAGAAUAUAUGCAUAAUUCAGGGAGGGACAGUGUCGUAGUUACAGAACAAAUUCGAGGCCAAUUAAUGCCAGAGGAAUUGGAUGUGCCGCGCACUGCGAAUCAAUGCCGGAGGAAAUGGGAUUCAUUGCUUGAUGAGUACAAAAAGAUAAUUGUGCGAUCAAGGACUUUUCCUAACUCCCAAACUCAAACUCAUACUGAUUUCUUUCCACCCAAUUUUGACCCUGAGCUCUUUAAAGCCAUUCAUGAUUUCGUUAUGUCUAAGGAUACCGAUCUGAUGAUACUGACCCAGAUUCAGAUACCGAUCCUGAAGCUGACUUCUCUGAAGCAAUUUCACAAACACAACUAGGUAACUUUUAACUUCUCUCUCUUGUCUUGGAUUGGGAGGACUUCUCAUCCACCUCGAUAACAAGAACAUACACACAUACUCUUUAUUUUUAUCUCCACCCACAAACGGCAACGGCUACAAUACUCAUAAAACUAAUAUUUUGGCGUUUAUUUAGGGUAAAUAUGUAAUUUUUUAUUUUCGGGAUUAAAAAAUAAUUUGGAUAAAAUUCCAUUAGUUUUAUUGACGGUUUGUAGACGGAGGUGGAAAUGUGAAAAAAAUUAUAAGUUUAGGUAGAGCACAGCUAAAAAAAUUAAGAUUUGUAUAUUUUUUAAAAAGUGAACAAAAUCAUGUGGACGGUGGAUAUUUUCCCUAAGAAAUUUAAAUUAAAGCUAUAUAUGUUAAAUAUAUCGCUAGCUACUUGUUUUUGGAGGAAUUAAAACAAUUAAUAAGCUGCGAAGUGAAAAUGAAUAAAUAAAUGAAAUGAGGUUGAAAAUAAGUCUCGCCGCCUGGAUCCAAGGCCAAAACAUUCAUGAUAAGUUAGGUAAUUAAGUACAUGUUUUCAAGCUCUUCAUGAAGAAUAACGUUAUUGAAAUAAAUCACAAAGACUCCCUACGCAAAUUAUUACAUUGAUUAAAAAAAAAAAGCCAUAUCUUUAACAGGAUCGUGACUCUCGGACUGUUAAUUACUUUAUUCCCUGCUUGGCCAACAGCUGGCCACUAAACAAAAUCAUAAAAAUUUUAAAUUUAGUCAAAUUGGUCCCACUUGAUGACAUCCUUUCCAAACAUAAAAUUGUUAACGUCAAGGUUAAAUAUGAGAAGUUUGGUAGAGAAGGUAAAAAGGAAGUCUAUAUAAGGAGGGGAACGAGCUUUGUUUAUAGCACAAGUGAAACUCCACUUUAUUGAACGAUGGGGUCUCAAAUGGGCUGCCUCUUUGCCACUCUUUUGGUAGUAUCAGUCUCUCUUAGCUACUUGCCGUUAGAAGCCUCCGCAAACAAAUACUACUACACAUCUCCUCCCCCUCCCAAGUACAAGUCUCCACCACCACCCCCGCCACCGGUUCACAAUUCUCCACCACCACCCCCGGUUUACCUGCCCCCGCCACCUCCUCCACCAGUCUACGUGCCUGCUCCGGCACCAACUCCAAUUUUCCCUUCUCCGCCACCUCCUGUCCCCAAGUCCCCACCACCACCUCACCCUUACGUCUAUGCAUCUCCCCCUCCUCCUUACUACUACUAGAAAGCGGCCAUGAAUAGCUCAUGCUUUUAUGGUAAUCUCAUUUAUUUUUAAAACUGUACAUGUAAAGACUAGUAGUUCAGAAUUACAUUAAGCAUUUCAAUUUUAAGCACCGUGUUCUGUUUAAUUGCGUUCCUAUUGAUUAAGUGACAAAUAAAAGAGAUUGAUUAAUUUGUUCUUGUAGGAGAGGCGAAUGGUAUCCGAAUAAAGAAAGCAAGGGUUUGAUGGAAGGCUUACUUGGAGCAAGAUAGCGAUCAAUCGAGUUGCUGCGUUUUAUUCUCUUUUAUCUUUGUUUUUUAAGAAAAAUAAACUGCCACACGUAGAAACAGAAAAUUAAGUUCUUGUCAUUUUCAUGCAUAUGGAUUGUUGCUGUGUGUGUCAAUCAAAUCUCCGUUGUGUCAUUUGUAAUUUUCAACCUUUAUGCAUGCAAAUGCGAGACCUCUUACGUAUAAUAAAAUUAAUAUACUUCCCAAGAUGGUCUUAUCUUGCGUUGACUUUUUACGUUCCUUUGGUGAUGAUUUUGACGUUUGAAAUUGAUGACUAAUUGACUAUUGUUUUUGUAAACUCUGACAUGGAUUUUUCGUGCAACUACAGAGCGCAUUAACGAGAGACUUAUCCAUGAGGGUCCAUGCAGAUCAGUGUCUAAUUAACCAAUAAUUAAUAUAACUAAAAAAAUAUAGAGUUAACUAUUUUUAUGGGUCAGGCUCAAUUGCAGAUGUUCGUACAAAAUUUCUUGCUAAUGUAUACUUGAGUAUGAUAAUAAGUUUUAAUCAUUAUUAAUAAUUCACUUGAUAAUAUUAAACAAAUUUUCAUAUCAAUUAAGUUACAAAAUUUCUGUGACAAAUUUCCGCGUACUGGAACCAUGCAAAAGGGCUUUAUUCAAACAAAACUGCAUAGCCGUUGGCAAUUAAAAUUAUUUAUCAAUUAAGUUAAGUAGUAAGAAUUGGAUUGUGGAUUCCAUUAAUUAUUUCAAGGAAAAUUUUAUAGAUAAUGCCGUAAUGAAAUUUACGGCAUCAAUACCAUGAUAAAUAUAAAUAUUGUAAAUUACAAAUAGAAUUAGUAAAUGUAAAGUAAAACCAGUAAAUUCAUAAAAGAUUAUUAAUUAUUUAAAAAAUUAACAUUGUUUCUACAUAAUUUUAGUGAAAAAUAUUUUAUUCAUUUACAAAAACAUUUCUUUAAUUAAACAAAAAAAUUCAUUAAUUAAGCAAAAAAAUUAUACUGAAAAAAAAGUGGAAUAAGUUUAAUUGAAUUGGUUAUCAUAAAUUCUAUAUUUAGUCUAGGACAUUUUUAUACAUUUUCUUCCCAUUUUCGAUAAUGAUAUCUAUUUGUUACACAUGUUAAUUAAGUGCAAUUAUUUAUCUUGAUGUGGAUCAAGUAAAAAAAUAUCAUAAAUAAGAUAUCAAUAAAAUUAGAUCUAAUUUUGAAUAUUAUGUAUACUUUAUGUAGUUUCAAACUUUUUACUUGUAUUUGGAGACCAUUUAAGGUUGUUGUUGAAGAAGUGUAGAAAGAUGUAAAAUAACUUCAUCUUACAACAACUAUGAAAGAUAUUAAAAUAAUAAUUUUUUCAAAAUCCGAUUUUGAGAAAAAAAUUCAUCCUUAAUUAAACAUCACAUGUAUUAUAGAAAUGCAAAACUACCAUUGUUAUAUUUAACUUAAAAAAUAAUAAAUAUAUAAGGUAAUAAACAUUAUAAAGAGUUUUUAUUUUAAAAUUGUAAACUUUUGUUUCUGACAAUAACUCUUAUAUUAAUUUAUUUAUUUUGCCUUUUAUUCAUAAGUUUUAUGCAUAAUUUACAAACUUUAAGUUUUAUUUUGCAUUUUAUGUUGAUUUGGUUUUUUUAUAUUAUACGUACAAGUUUUCUUUUUAUUUACCAGUAAUACAUCAAUUUAUCAGCUUGAUAGUAAUUUACUUAUUUUACCUUCCUUUUACAAUUCUUAUGUUUCAUUUCCAAAAUUUAUGUUUUAUUUUACAGUUGUUGAUGAUUUACUAGUUUUAUGUUAUGUUUGCAAGUUUUUGUUUUGUUUACUAGUAAUAGAUUAAUGGGUAAUUUUUAAUUGAGUCCUCAUUAGUUCUAGAAAAACAAUUCAGAGACCAGAAGUUUACUAAAUGAAUCAAUUAAAUUCUUUCAAGUACAAACUAAUGUCAUUCAAGUCCUUAACUUAAUUGGUCAGUUAAAAAUAUUAACAACGUUGAGGACAUUUUAGUAAAACAACAAUUGAGUCGUUUCUCAUUCUUUAUUUUUGACAGGUGGAAAUAGUUUAAAGUAAACUCACUUAACCUGAUUAAGUUAAGGAUCAGUUCUUUCAAAUGAAAAAAAAAAAAAAAACCUACAGAAACUGCCAUAUUCUUCGUGUGGGAGGAGAGAUCGAGAGAACGUGGGAUGGUGCAAAAAAUGUUGUAUAAAUCUACUGUGAUUUUGACCAAAGCUUUGGUAGCAUUGAUUGAGUUCAAGUACUGGAGAGAACCUGAGUUUAAAGGUUAGUAACUCUAUUUUUUUAGUGAUUUCUGCAAGCAUUUUCUGAUAAAAAAUUUUCCGUAUUGAGUGAUCGUUGUGAAAAAUUAAGUUUUUCAAGUCUAUUUUACAAAAUGACAAACUAUGUUUAAUUAUUGAUGGAUUCUUUUUUUUGUUCAAUGUUGUAUUUUGUUAAUUUGUUGUUUUUAAUUUGCUCUUAAUGUAAUUGUUAGACCAAAUACACCAUUAUUAUACCUGUAUUCAUUUCAACAAUUUGGUAUCGUUAUAUUAAUAAGAUUGAAUUCAUUGUAUUUGCUUCUUUGUUCAUGUAAAAUUGAAUUCUAUGUAUUCUUAUGAGUGAUAAUUUUUCUAUCUAUUAGACUAAAUUCACUAUAUUCACUACUUUCUUUCUUUUUGCUGGGCUAUUUUUUCUUUUUAGUUUAUAUUUUUUAUAUGUAUUAGAUUGAAUUUGCUUUUGUACGUUUUUUUUAGCCGAAUUACAUGUAUAUUUCAUUUAGGUUGAGUUUUUUUUGUUGUUUGCUAAAUAAAAUUAUAUUGGUUUAUCCCUUUUUUAUGCAAUACUUUUUGUUUAAAAUUAAUACAGUUAGCCAUGUUACCUUUUUUUUCGGUUAAAAUUAAUGGGGUGAUGUAGGCGAUAGGAUAUAGGGAACCAGAGGAAUAUAAGAUUAUUAGGCUGUUUCUUGAAAUUCAAGAUGUCAUGGUUAAGCAUGGACACAGUGAAAUGGAUUUGAUUGAAAUUUUUGUUGUAUUGCCAUGGACUACAAGUGGCCAGAGGAAGCUAAUUUCAAACGAUAGUGAAUUGUAUUGGGUUUUCGAGGAGUUUUUUUUAAUCAAUAGUUGUCCUGUCAUUGAGUUUGAGGUGCACACUGGGUCAGGUGGUCAGUCAUUUCAUGAAAGUGUUGUAAUAGGACCUGAAAAUCCUGUCAAUAUUAAAAAUUAGUGUUGUAAUAGUGAUAAGUUUGAAAAUGUUGUGGCUAAAAAGGUCUGCCUAGAAUAAUUGGUACUUCUUUAUUUGCCUCAAAGUCCAACACUAUGAAAUCCACAAGGAAAAAGAAUUUAUCCACUUUAACCAGCACGUCUUCAAUCUUGCCUUCAGGAUAAGCAUGAGAUCUGGCAGCACAUUGCAAUGUCACUGUGGUUGGUUUGACUUCUCCAACUCCCAAUUGCUUGAAUUCUGAUAAUGUCAUAAGAUUGAUGCUUGCUCCCAAACCACAAAGUGUCUUGCCACUGUAUUUAGUUCCUAUGGAACAAUGAAUUGUGAAACUUCCUGGAUCCUUCAACUUCUGAGGCAUUUUACUCUGAAGCAUAUGGCUGCAUUCUUGUGUUAGACCAACUAUUUCAAAUUCUCCGAGCCUCAUUUUCCUUGCCAAUAUACAUUUCCAAAACUUUACAUAAUUUGGCAUUUGUUCUAAUGCUUCCACAAAAGAAAUGUUGAUAUGCAGUUCUUUCCAUACUUCCAAGAAUUUACUGAACUGCAUGUCUUGCUUUCGCUUUUGAAAUCUUUGUGGGAAGGGUGGUGGAUGUGUAAAUUGUUGUACUGCAGCAGACUAUACAUAUUGCUUUUCUCUUGCUCUAUUAUGGUAUGUUAUUAUUGGUGUUGCAGCUUCUUCCUCAACAAGCAUUGAAUCAUGUUUUUUUGCAGUUGCUAUAACUUAGCAACUCUCACCAGUGUGCUGGAAAAUGGGUUGUUGUGUCUCUUCUUUAAUUUGAGUUUCCCCUUGGGUUGAAUUAGGUUCCACUCUUCUUUUUGGUACUUUAACAAGUAUAUGAACAUCCUUUCCAAACCUUAAGUUAAUCCCCUUACAAUGCUCUUUUCCUUCUCUCUUUCGAUCCUCUGUAUUGUUUAGUAAAUUGUCCUGAGGUAUGUUGCUCAAUUUUGUAGCAAGCUGUCCAAUCUUAUUCUCCAAGUUUCUUAAAAAUACAGCUUGGCUUUAGACCACUACUCCAAUCUUUACAAUAUACUCCUUAAUCAGAGUUUCAAUGGAACUAAAUUGAUCAUUACUGGUGUUUCUUUACCCUUCAAAUUUCUGGUGAAAAUCAGGUGGCUGAGCAAGUCUGUUCUGUCCACUGGAUGCUGCAGCAUGCUGAUUCUGAUUGCUCCUUUUAAAAUUUGGGUGAUGUCUCCAUCCUAGGUUAUAGGUGUUUGAAAAUGGAUUGCUUUGAUUUUGUUUAUUAAAAUUGCCCACAUAAUUGACGGAAGCUGAAUUCCUAGGACAAUUAUGAUAUAGAUGUCCCUCUCCAUAAUAAACACAAGAGACUUCAGCAAUUUGGUUAACUGUUGCCGGAGCAGUGGCCGUUGCUUUUACCAUAUUUGUCAAUGAGGUUACUUGGGCUGAUAAUGUUGUCAGUGCAUCCACAUUGUGUACUCCUGCUGCUCCUCUCACUGUGGCUUGUCUAGUUGAUGGCCAUUGAUAGUUAUCCUUUCUAAAAUUUCAUAAGCCUCAUUAUAUGAGUUAGACAAUAAAGCCCCUAGUUAUUGAGUUCAACCCAUUGUAGAAAGUUUCCAAUUGUAUGCAAUAAGGAAUACCAUGAUGAGGGCAUCUCCUGAGUAACCCCUUGAAUCUUUCUCAUGCAUCAUACAAGCUUUCAUCUUCAAGUUGAUGGAAAGAUGUGAUCUCAUUCUUCAACUUUGCAUUCUUUGUUGGUGGGAAAUAUUUCAUCAAAAGUUUGUCAGCCAAAUAAUUCCAUGUGGUGAUGGAGUCUGGUUGCAAAGAACUCCACUGUACCAACUAAAAUUGAUUUCACAAAACACAAUAAGCACCAAUCCCCGGCAACGGCGCAAAAAACUUGUUGUCGAUUUUCUAAUGCUAUUAGUGUCAAUGUGAAAAUGUACACAACAAGUAAUAUAACGAUAAGUAUUCACUCCACAAGGAUUAUUAUUAUAGGAAUUGCUACAGUAAUUCUAUCAGUGCCAUUCUUAUUAUAAAUUAGAAUUUAAACAAAUUAUUCAACUAAUGAACUAAGGCAGAUCUUAUUGGGCUAGUCGGCAAUGUGUUGCUUUAGGUCGUGUGGAAUAGUUGCGGGAGUGAUCUUGCAUGAUGUGUGGAGCUAUAACAGUGCUGAGCAUGGGCCAAUCUAUGGGCUCAUGGAACUAGCGAACCUAAUCUAGAAUUUCGAGGAAGAGUACUCUGGUUAGUACUCUAAAUUACCUUAUUAUAUUUUGCACAAACAGAGGCAUGUUAGUGAAAUAAUAUCUAAGCAACCCAAGAGGGGGGUGAAUUGGGUUUCUAAAAAUUAUGCAAUUCUUAAACAAAACUUAAUGCAAAUCUUAAACGAAUUUAAAGCAAUAAUACAUAAAUCAACCAAGGUAUAAAAAGAUAAGGGAAGAGAGAUUAAAACACAGAGAGUUUUACGUGGUUCGGCCAACCUUGCCUACAUCCACACCCCCAAGCACACCGAGCUUGGGCAUUCCACUAGUCAAGCCUUCAAGGCUUCAAGAACACUUACAAUUGACUUCUUAGGUGUCAAUCAACCUUUACAUCUAGAGAUUAUCCCCAAUCUCUUAACCCAAGUGUAUCCCAAUAUUUACAAUCACUCAAAAUAAAGAUUACAAAUUUAUUUUUCUCUCACACAAUUUUUUAAGAUUACAAAUCAACGCUUAAUGUGUGAAUAAAUGAACAAGAAUGAAUUUGAAGCUCAAUGAAUGUUGUAUUCUCGAUUAUAAGCUCAAUGAUAACGUUGUGAUAAGCUCUUGUUUGAAUUUGAUUGAUCUUAUUUAUAGUUGGAGUUGAAAAAUAGCCAUUGUUGACUUUUUCCCGAAAUUGGAUCGCCGUUAACCGUUAUCGGUUAACCGUUUUGACUGGUCCAAGUGACCGUUGAGCUGAAUUUCAAAUAAACGGUUGAUCUUUUGACACUAUCGGUUUGCUGUUAAUUUCCAUAAACCUGUAAAACAAAUUUAUGCUAUUCGUUCUUGCUAAACGGUUGAAGGUCAGCAUGGAAUGACAUUCUAGAAAUUAUUGGUUGGCCGUUUGAAGUUCACGGUUCACCGUUUACUUCUAGAAUCACAGUUUUAACCAAAUUUCGCAGGGAAUGCUUUUUCGGUUAAAGUUAACGAUUAUCCAUAUUUCAUGAACACAUUUAGAAAAAUCAUACGACUUUUGAGAAAUUGUUUAGUAAUGAAAACUCUAACAUUUUAAUCAAAUACAUUUAAAGUUUGUUAUCAUCAAAAUCAAUAUAAUGAACAUCUACAUGUUAACAGUUAGGCCUUGAUUAUUUUUUAAAUCUUAUAAGAUAUAGAGUGAUAAUAGUAACUCAAUUUUCAUAAAACGUGGAAAGAUCAGUCGCCAAAUUUAUAGAUGCCAUAGAAAACCUAGAUUUUAGUAAGGAAUAUCAAGUUAUUUAUACAAUGAAAAUUGUUAAAACUCGAUUAAUUGCAAGGAAACACUUUUAGAGAGAUAUGGAGAGAAUAAACUUUGAAGAUAACAAUGAAAUACAUGACACAUUUAAGGAAGAAAAUAUAAUAGUAUUAAUAGAAUCUAUUUUAACCGGUCUUAAGAUAAUUCAAGAUUGAUGCAAAAUAAAUAACAGGACUCUAAACCGUCCAUAAUAAGUCUAUUGAUUAAUAAUAACAAUAAUAGUGAUGUGAAAUUUUUUAUUCAGAAUGCUCAAUUUAGAUUAUAAUAUCUAUGUGAAAGCAUUGAUGGCAUGUACCUUGGUUAGGAAAAUAGAUUGGACACAUGGAUAUAUAUGUUGGAAGAACAAAUCUAGUUUAUAUCUCAAGAGAGAUAAUAAAUUAUAAAUGACGGUGCUAUAGUAUAUUCAGAUUUUAUAAAUCUUUAUAAAUUUAAUAAUCAUUUAGAUCUUCAUAAUAUUAUAAUAAAACUUUAAAAAACUUUAAAAAUAUAUGUAGAAGAGAUGGAAGAAGAAAUCAUCCAAUUAUUCAAAAUCAAUUAAACAAAAAUAGAAGGUAAAAUCCUUGAAUUAUAUAAAUUAUACAAUUUCACAGAAAUUUUGCAUAUAUUGCGAAACGGUCCUUGUGGCACUAAUUAUGGGACUAGUGUAGCAUAAAUACUAAUAUUGCUUUUUAUUUUGUAAAUUAAUUGUUGCGUCAUAAUUUUUUUACAUACACAUUUUAUGUUUUAAAAUAUGAUUUUUUUUUUGUAUUUAGGGUUAAUUUUACAAUUUCAUACUUUGUUCAAUUAUAUGUACAGGUCCUUCACGUGUUGGUUGAUGUUGAAUAUUCAAAGAUCCACAAGCUAUCAACGACAACGAAUCAAAUUAAACUAAUUAGUUAAUACAUAAUGACUGGGUUGUUUCCUAUGUUGUUAAUGAUGUAGAACGUUAUUUUAGGAUUUUAGAAUUUUAAUUUUUAGGUCUUCUGAUAUUUUCUUUUUUAAUUAAAGUUAGUGUCUUAGUUUUUUAUUUAUUUAUGUUAUAAUUAUAAUUUACUUUCUCUUUUUAAGUUAACUUAGGAAAAUAUAUUUACUGUAUUAUAAAUAAAGAGAUCUUGUUAUUACUUUAUAACUUCAACUUCAGUUAUUCAAUUAAAAACCCCUCUUUUAUAAUUUCCUUUUGUAUUAUCUAUUAAAAACCCCUCUUUUAAAGUUGUUUGAUUAGAGCAUCAUCUAGCCUUGCUUAACGCAGUAUAAAAAAUCCCUUUGAGUUUAAUCACACGUCGAUUAGAGCGUAACUUAAUCGCAUUGACUUGGUCCAUGACUUGAACGAUAUCUAGUGUUUUGCUUCCGCUAUGCCCAAGGAGAAAAUUAAUUUCACCGUGAGAUAAGAGCAUUAAAAGGAAUUCAUAAGAAAUUUAAAUUAAAGCUAUAUAUGUUAAAUAUAUCGCUAGCUACUUGUUUUUGGAGGAAUUAAAACAAUUAAUAAGCUGCGAAGUGAAAAUGAAUAAAUAAAUGAAAUGAGGUUGAAAAUAAGUCUCGCCGCCUGGAUCCAAGGCCAAAACAUUCAUGAUAAGUUAGGUAAUUAAGUACAUGUUUUCAAGCUCUUCAUGAAGAAUAACGUUAUUGAAAUAAAUCACAAAGACUCCCUGCGCAAAUUAUUACAUUGAUUAAAAAAAAAAGCCAUAUCUUUAACAGGAUCGUGACUCUCGGACUGUUAAUUACUUUAUUCCCUGCUUGGCCAACAGCUGGCCACUAAACAAAAUCAUAAAAAUUUUAAAUUUAGUCAAAUUGGUCCCACUUGAUGACAUCCUUUUCAUACAUAAAAUUGUUAACGUCAAGGUUAAAUAUGAGAAGUUUGGUAGAGAAGGUAAAAAGGAAGUCUAUAUAAGGAGGGGAACGAGCUUUGUUUAUAGCACAAGUGAAACUCCACUUUAUUGAACGAUGGGGUCUCAAAUGGGCUGCCUCUUUGCCACUCUUUUGGUAGUAUCAGUCUCUCUUAGCUACUUGCCGUUAGAAGCCUCCGCAAACAAAUACUACUACACAUCUCCUCCCCCUCCCAAGUACAAGUCUCCACCACCACCCCCGCCACCGGUUCACAAUUCUCCACCACCACCCCCGGUUUACCUGCCCCCGCCACCUCCUCCACCAGUCUACGUGCCUGCUCCGGCACCAACUCCAAUUUUCCCUUCUCCGCCACCUCCUGUCCCCAAGUCCCCACCACCACCUCACCCUUACGUCUAUGCAUCUCCCCCUCCUCCUUACUACUACUAGAAAGCGGCCAUGAAUAGCUCAUGCUUUUAUGGUAAUCUCAUUUAUUUUUAAAACUGUACAUGUAAAGACUAGUAGUUCAGAAUUACAUUAAGCAUUUCAAUUUUAAGCACCGUGUUCUGUUUAAUUGCGUUCCUAUUGAUUAAGUGACAAAUAAAAGAGAUUGAUUAAUUUGUUCUUGUAGGAGAGGCGAAUGGUAUCCGAAUAAAGAAAGCAAGGGUUUGAUGGAAGGCUUACUUGGAGCAAGAUAGCGAUCAAUCGAGUUGCUGCGUUUUAUUCUCUUUUAUCUUUGUUUUUUAAGAAAAAUAAACUGCCACACGUAGAAACAGAAAAUUAAGUUCUUGUCAUUUUCAUGCAUAUGGAUUGUUGCUGUGUGUGUCAAUCAAAUCUCCGUUGUGUCAUUUGUAAUUUUCAACCUUUAUGCAUGCAAAUGCGAGACCUCUUACGUAUAAUAAAAUUAAUAUACUUCCCAAGAUGGUCUUAUCUUGCGUUGACUUUUUACGUUCCUUUGGUGAUGAUUUUGACGUUUGAAAUUGAUGACUAAUUGACUAUUGUUUUUGUAAACUCUGACAUGGAUUUUUCGUGCAACUACAGAGCGCAUUAACGAGAGACUUAUCCAUGAGGGUCCAUGCAGAUCAGUGUCUAAUUAACCAAUAAUUAAUAUAACUAAAAAAAUAUAGAGUUAACUAUUUUUAUGGGUCAGGCUCAAUUGCAGAUGUUCGUACAAAAUUUCUUGCUAAUGUAUACUUGAGUAUGAUAAUAAGUUUUUAAUCAUUAUUAAUAAUUCACUUGAUAAUAUUAAACAAAUUUUCAUAUCAAUUAAGUUACAAAAUUUCUGUGACAAAUUUCCGCGUACUGGAACCAUGCAAAAGGGCUUUAUUCAAACAAAACUGCAUAGCCGUUGGCAAUUAAAAUUAUUUAUCAAUUAAGUUAAGUAGUAAGAAUUGGAUUGUGGAUUCCAUUAAUUAUUUCAAGGAAAAUUUUAUAGAUAAUGCCGUAAUGAAAUUUACGGCAUCAAUACCAUGAUAAAUAUAAAUAUUGUAAAUUACAAAUAGAAUUAGUAAAUGUAAAGUAAAACCAGUAAAUUCAUAAAAGAUUAUUAAUUAUUUAAAAAAUUAACAUUGUUUCUACAUAAUUUUAGUGAAAAAUAUUUUAUUCAUUUACAAAAACAUUUCUUUAAUUAAACAAAAAAAUUCAUUAAUUAAGCAAAAAAAUUAUACUGAAAAAAAAGUGGAAUAAGUUUAAUUGAAUUGGUUAUCAUAAAUUCUAUAUUUAGUCUAGGACAUUUUUAUACAUUUUCUUCCCAUUUUCGAUAAUGAUAUCUAUUUGUUACACAUGUUAAUUAAGUGCAAUUAUUUAUCUUGAUGUGGAUCAAGUAAAAAAAUAUCAUAAAUAAGAUAUCAAUAAAAUUAGAUCUAAUUUUGAAUAUUAUGUAUACUUUAUGUAGUUUCAAACUUUUUACUUGUAUUUGGAGACCAUUUAAGGUUGUUGUUGAAGAAGUGUAGAAAGAUGUAAAAUAACUUCAUCUUACAACAACUAUGAAAGAUAUUAAAAUAAUAAUUUUUUCAAAAUCCGAUUUUGAGAAAAAAAUUCAUCCUUAAUUAAACAUCACAUGUAUUAUAGAAAUGCAAAACUACCAUUGUUAUAUUUAACUUAAAAAAUAAUAAAUAUAUAAGGUAAUAAACAUUAUAAAGAGUUUUUAUUUUAAAAUUGUAAACUUUUGUUUCUGACAAUAACUCUUAUAUUAAUUUAUUUAUUUUGCCUUUUAUUCAUAAGUUUUAUGCAUAAUUUACAAACUUUAAGUUUUAUUUUGCAUUUUAUGUUGAUUUGGUUUUUUUAUAUUAUACGUACAAGUUUUCUUUUUAUUUACCAGUAAUACAUCAAUUUAUCAGCUUGAUAGUAAUUUACUUAUUUUACCUUCCUUUUACAAUUCUUAUGUUUCAUUUCCAAAAUUUAUGUUUUAUUUUACAGUUGUUGAUGAUUUACUAGUUUUAUGUUAUGUUUGCAAGUUUUUGUUUUGUUUACUAGUAAUAGAUUAAUGGGUAAUUUUUAAUUGAGUCCUCAUUAGUUCUAGAAAAACAAUUCAGAGACCAGAAGUUUACUAAAUGAAUCAAUUAAAUUCUUUCAAGUACAAACUAAUGUCAUUCAAGUCCUUAACUUAAUUGGUCAGUUAAAAAUAUUAACAACGUUGAGGACAUUUUAGUAAAACAACAAUUGAGUCGUUUCUCAUUCUUUAUUUUUGACAGGUGGAAAUAGUUUAAAGUAAACUCACUUAACCUGAUUAAGUUAAGGAUCAGUUCUUUCAAAUGAAAAAAAAAAAAAAAAACCUACAGAAACUGCCAUAUUCUUCGUGUGGGAGGAGAGAUCGAGAGAACGUGGGAUGGUGCAAAAAAUGUUGUAUAAAUCUACUGUGAUUUUGACCAAAGCUUUGGUAGCAUUGAUUGAGUUCAAGUACUGGAGAGAACCUGAGUUUAAAGGUUAGUAACUCUAUUUUUUUAGUGAUUUUUGCAAGCAUUUUCUGAUAAAAAAUUUUCCGUAUUGAGUGAUCGUUGUGAAAAAUUAAGUUUUUCAAGUCUAUUUUACAAAAUGACAAACUAUGUUUAAUUAUUGGUGGAUUCUUUUUUUUGUUCAAUGUUGUAUUUUGUUAAUUUGUUGUUUUUAAUUUGCUCUUAAUGUAAUUGUUAGACCAAAUACACCAUUAUUAUACCUAUAUUCAUUUCAACAAUUUGGUAUCGUUAUAUUAAUAAGAUUGAAUUCAUUGUAUUUGCUUCUUUGUUCAUGUAAAAUUGAAUUCUAUGUAUUCUUAUGAGUGAUAAUUUUUCUAUCUAUUAGACUAAAUUCACUAUAUUCACUACUUUCUUUCUUUUUGCUGGGCUAUUUUUUCUUUUUAGUUUAUAUUUUUAUAUGUAUUAGAUUGAAUUUGCUUUUGUACGUUUUUUUAGCCGAAUUACAUGUAUAUUUCAUUUAGGUUGAGUUUUUUUUGUUGUUUGCUAAAUAAAAUUAUAUUGGUUUAUCCCCUUUUUAUGCAAUACUUUUUGUUUAAAAUUAAUACAGUUAGCCAUGUUACCUUUUUUUUCAGUUAAAAUUAAUGGGGUGAUGUAGGCGAUAGGAUAUAGGGAACCAGAGGAAUAUAAGAUUAUUAGGCUGUUUCUUGAAAUUCAAGAUGUCAUGGUUAAGCAUGGACACAGUGAAAUGGAUUUGAUUGAAAUUUUUGUUGUAUUGCCAUGGACUACAAGUGGCCAGAGGAAGCUAAUUUCAAACGAUAGUGAAUUGUAUUGGGUUUUCGAGGAGUUUUUUUUAAUCAAUAGUUGUCCUGUCAUUGAGUUUGAGGUGCACACUGGGUCAGGUGGUCAGUCAUUUCAUGAAAGUGUUGUAAUAGGACCUGAAAAUCCUGUCAAUAUUAAAAAUUAGUGUUGUAAUAGUGAUAAGUUUGAAAAUGUUGUGGCUAAAAAGGUCUGCCUAGAAUAAUUGGUACUUCUUUAUUUGCCUCAAAGUCCAACACUAUGAAAUCCACAAGGAAAAAGAAUUUAUCCACUUUAACCAGCACGUCUUCAAUCUUGCCUUCAGGAUAAGCAUGAGAUCUGGCAGCACAUUGCAAUGUCACUGUGGUUGGUUUGACUUCUCCAACUCCCAAUUGCUUGAAUUCUGAUAAUGUCAUAAGAUUGAUGCUUGCUCCCAAACCACAAAGUGUCUUGCCACUGUAUUUAGUCCCUAUGGAACAAUGAAUUGUGAAACUUCCUGGAUCCUUCAACUUCUGAGGCAUUUUACUCUGAAGCAUAUGGCUGCAUUCUUGUGUUAGACCAACUAUUUCAAAUUCUCCGAGCCUCAUUUUCCUUGCCAAUAUACAUUUCCAAAAACUUUACAUAAUUUGGCAUUUGUUCUAAUGCUUCCACAAAAGAAAUGUUGAUAUGCAGUUCUUUCCAUACUUCCAAGAAUUUACUGAACUGCAUGUCUUGCUUUCGCUUUUGAAAUCUUUGUGGGAAGGGUGGUGGAUGUGUAAAUUGUUGUACUGCAGCAGACUAUACAUAUUGCUUUUCUCUUGCUCUAUUAUGGUAUGUUAUUAUUGGUGUUGCAGCUUCUUCCUCAACAAGCAUUGAAUCAUGUUUUUUUGCAGUUGCUAUAACUUAGCAACUCUCACCAGUGUGCUGGAAAAUGGGUUGUUGUGUCUCUUCUUUAAUUUGAGUUUCCCCUUGGGUUGAAUUAGGUUCCACUCUUCUUUUUGGUACUUUAACAAGUAUAUGAACAUCCUUUCCAAACCUUAAGUUAAUCCCCUUACAAUGCUCUUUUCCUUCUCUCUUUCGAUCCUCUGUAUUGUUUAGUAAAUUGUCCUGAGGUAUGUUGCUCAAUUUUGUAGCAAGCUGUCCAAUCUUAUUCUCCAAGUUUCUUAAAAAUACAGCUUGGCUUUAGACCACUACUUCAAUCUUUACAAUAUACUCCUUAAUCAGAGUUUCAAUGGAACUAAAUUGAUCAUUACUGGUGUUUCUUUACCCUUCAAAUUUCUGGUGAAAAUCAGGUGGCUGAGCAAGUCUGUUCUGUCCACUGGAUGCUGCAGCAUGCUGAUUCUGAUUGCUCCUUUUAAAAUUUGGGUGAUGUCUCCAUCCUAGGUUAUAGGUGUUUGAAAAUGGAUUGCUUUGAUUUUGUUUAUUAAAAUUGCCCACAUAAUUGACGGAAGCUGAAUUCCUAGGACAAUUAUGAUAUAGAUGUCCCUCUCCAUAAUAAACACAAGAGACUUCAGCAAUUUGGUUAACUGUUGCCGGAGCAGUGGCCGUUGCUUUUACCAUAUUUGUCAAUGAGGUUACUUAGGCUGAUAAUGUUGUCAGUGCAUCCACAUUGUGUACUCCUGCUGCUCCUCUCACUGUGGCUUGUCUAGUUGAUGGCCAUUGAUAGUUAUCCUUUCUAAAAUUUCAUAAGCCUCAUUAUAUGAGUUAGACAAUAAAGCCCCUAGUUAUUGAGUUCAACCCAUUGUAGAAAGUUUCCAAUUGUAUGCAAUAAGGAAUACCAUGAUGAGGGCAUCUCCUGAGUAACCCCUUGAAUCUUUCUCAUGCAUCAUACAAGCUUUCAUCUUCAAGUUGAUGGAAAGAUGUGAUCUCAUUCUUCAACUUUGCAUUCUUUGUUGGUGGGAAAUAUUUCAUCAAAAGUUUGUCAGCCAAAUAAUUCCAUGUGGUGAUGGAGUCUGGUUGCAAAGAACUCCACUGUACCAACUAAAAUUGAUUUCACAAAACACAAUAAGCACCAAUCCCCGGCAACGGCGCAAAAAACUUGUUGUCGAUUUUCUAAUGCUAUUAGUGUCAAUGUGAAAAUGUACACAACAAGUAAUAUAACGAUAAGUAUUCACUCCACAAGGAUUAUUAUUAUAGGAAUUGCUACAGUAAUUCUAUCAGUGCCAUUCUUAUUAUAAAUUAGAAUUUAAACAAAUUAUUCAACUAAUGAACUAAGGCAGAUCUUAUUGGGCUAGUCGGCAAUGUGUUGCUUUAGGUCGUGUGGAAUAGUUGCGGGAGUGAUCUUGCAUGAUGUGUGGAGCUAUAACAGUGCUGAGCAUGGGCCAAUCUAUGGGCUCAUGGAACUAGCGAACCUAAUCUAGAAUUUCGAGGAAGAGUACUCUGGUUAGUACUCUAAAUUACCUUAUUAUAUUUUGCACAAACAGAGGCAUGUUAGUGAAAUAAUAUCUAAGCAACCCAAGAGGGGGGUGAAUUGGGUUUCUAAAAAUUAUGCAAUUCUUAAACAAAACUUAAUGCAAAUCUUAAACGAAUUUAAAGCAAUAAUACAUAAAUCAACCAAGGUAUAAAAAGAUAAGGGAAGAGAGAUUAAAACACAGAGAGUUUUACGUGGUUCGGCCAACCUUGCCUACAUCCACACCCCCAAGCACACCGAGCUUGGGCAUUCCACUAGUCAAGCCUUCAAGGCUUCAAGAACACUUACAAUUGACUUCUUAGGUGUCAAUCAACCUUUACAUCUAGAGAUUAUCCCCAAUCUCUUAACCCAAGUGUAUCCCAAUAUUUACAAUCACUCAAAAUAAAGAUUACAAAUUUAUUUUUCUCUCACACAAUUUUUUAAGAUUACAAAUCAACGCUUAAUGUGUGAAUAAAUGAACAAGAAUGAAUUUGAAGCUCAAUGAAUGUUGUAUUCUCGAUUAUAAGCUCAAUGAUAACGUUGUGAUAAGCUCUUGUUUGAAUUUGAUUGAUCUUAUUUAUAGUUGGAGUUGAAAAAUAGCCAUUGUUGACUUUUUCCCGAAAUUGGAUCGCCGUUAACCGUUAUCGGUUAACCGUUUUGACUGGUCCAAGUGACCGUUGAGCUGAAUUUCAAAUAAACGGUUGAUCUUUUGACACUAUCGGUUUGCUGUUAAUUUCCAUAAACCUGUAAAACAAAUUUAUGCUAUUCGUUCUUGCUAAACGGUUGAAGGUCAGCAUGGAAUGACAUUCUAGAAAUUAUUGGUUGGCCGUUUGAAGUUCACGGUUCACCGUUUACUUCUAGAAUCACAGUUUUAACCAAAUUUCGCAGGGAAUGCUUUUUCGGUUAAAGUUAACGAUUAUCCAUAUUUCAUGAACACAUUUAGAAAAAUCAUACGACUUUUGAGAAAUUGUUUAGUAAUGAAAACUCUAACAUUUUAAUCAAAUACAUUUAAAGUUUGUUAUCAUCAAAAUCAAUAUAAUGAACAUCUACAUGUUAACAGUUAGGCCUUGAUUAUUUUUUAAAUCUUAUAAGAUAUAGAGUGAUAAUAGUAACUCAAUUUUCAUAAAACGUGGAAAGAUCAGUCGCCAAAUUUAUAGAUGCCAUAGAAAAUCUAGAUUUUAGUAAGGAAUAUCAAGUUAUUUAUACAAUGAAAAUUGUUAAAACUCGAUUAAUUGCAAGGAAACACUUUUAGAGAGAUAUGGAGAGAAUAAACUUUGAAGAUAACAAUGAAAUACAUGACACAUUUAAGGAAGAAAAUAUAAUAGUAUUAAUAGAAUCUAUUUUAACCAGUCUUAAGAUAAUUCAAGAUUGAUGCAAAAUAAAUAACAGGACUCUAAACCGUCCAUAAUAAGUCUAUUGAUUAAUAAUAAUAAUAAUAGUGAUGUGAAAUUUUUUAUUCAGAAUGCUCAAUUUAGAUUAUAAUAUCUAUGUGAAAGCAUUGAUGGCAUGUACCUUGGUUAGGAAAAUAGAUUGGACACAUGGAUAUAUAUGUUGGAAGAACAAAUCUAGUUUAUAUCUCAAGAGAGAUAAUAAAUUAUAAAUGCCGGUGCUAUAGUAUAUUCAGAUUUUAUAAAUCUUUAUAAAUUUAAUAAUCAUUUAGAUCUUCAUAAAAUUAUAAUAAAACUUUAAAAAACUUUAAAAAUAUAUGUAGAAGAGAUGGAAGAAGAAAUCAUCCAGUUAUUCAAAAUCAAUUAAACAGAAAUAGAAGGUAAAAUCCUUGAAUUAUAUAAAUUAUACAAUUUCACAGAAAUUUUGCAUAUAUUGCAAAACGGUCCUUGUGGCACUAAUUAUGGGACUAGUGUAGCAUAAAUACUAAUAUUGCUUUUUAUUUUGUAAAUUAAUUGUUGCGUCAUAAUGUUUUUACAUACACAUUUUAUGUUUUAAAAUAUGAAUUUUUUUUUUUUGUAUUUAGGGAUAAUUUUACAAUUUCAUACUUUGUUCAAUUAUAUAUACAGGUCCUUAACGUGUUGGUUGAUGUUGAAUAUUCAAAGAUCCACAAGCUAUCAACGACAACGAAUCAAAUUAAACUAAUUAGUUAAUACAUAAUGACUGGGUUGUUUCCUAUGUUGUUAAUGAUGUAGGACGUUAUUUUAGGAUUUUAGAAUUGUAAUUUUUAGGUCUUCUGAUAUUUUCUUUUUUAAUUAAAGUUAGUGUCUUAGUUUUUUAUUUAUUUAUGUUAUAAUUAUAAUUUACUUUCUCUUUUUAAGUUAACUUAGGAAAAUAUAUUUACUGUAUUAUAAAUAAAGAGAUCUUGUUAUUACUUUAUAACUUCAACUUCAGUUAUUCAAUUAAAAACCCCUCUUUUAUAAUUUCAUUUUGUAUUAUUUAUUAAAAACCCCUCUUUUAAAGUUGUUUGAUUAGAGCAUCAUCCAGCCUUGCUUAACGCAGUAUUAAAAAUCCAUUUGAGUUUAAUCACACUUCGAUUAGAGCGUAACUUAAUUGCAUUGACUUGGUCCAGUACUUGAACGAUAUCUAGUGUUUUGCUUCCGCUAUGCCAAGGAGAAAAUUAAUUUCACCGUGAGAUAAGAGCAUUAAAAGGAAUUCAUAAGAAAUUUAAAUUAAAGCUAUAUAUGUUAAAUAUAUCGCUAGCUACUUGUUUUUGGAGGAAUUAAAACAAUUAAUAAGCUGCGAAGUGAAAAUGAAUAAAUAAAUGAAAUGAGGUUGAAAAUAAGUCUCGCCGCCUGGAUCCAAGGCCAAAACAUUCAUGAUAAGUUAGGUAAUUAAGUACAUGUUUUCAAGCUCUUCAUGAAGAAUAACGUUAUUGAAAUAAAUCACAAAGACUCCCUGCGCAAAUUAUUACAUUGAUUAAAAAAAAAAAGCCAUAUCUUUAACAGGAUCGUGACUCUCGGACUGUUAAUUACUUUAUUCCCUGCUUGGCCAACAGCUGGCCACUAAACAAAAUCAUAAAAAUUUUAAAUUUAGUCAAAUUGGUCCCACUUGAUGACAUCCUUUCCAUACAUAAAAUUGUUUAACGUCAAGGUUAAAUAUGAGAAGUUUGGUAGAGAAGGUAAAAAGGAAGUCUAUAUAAGGAGGGGAACGAGCUUUGUUUAUAGCACAAGUGAAACUCCACUUUAUUGAACGAUGGGGUCUCAAAUGGGCUGCCUCUUUGCCACUCUUUUGGUAGUAUCAGUCUCUCUUAGCUACUUGCCGUUAGAAGCCUCCGCAAACAAAUACUACUACACAUCUCCUCCCCCUCCCAAAUACAAGUCUCCACCACCACCCCCGCCACCGGUUCACAAUUCUCCACCACCACCCCCGGUUUACCUGCCCCCGCCACCUCCUCCACCAGUCUACGUGCCUGCUCCGGCACCAACUCCAAUUUUCCCUUCUCCGCCACCUCCUGUCCCCAAGUCCCCACCACCACCUCACCCUUACAUCUAUGCAUCUCCCCCUCCUCCUUACUACUACUAGAAAGUGGCCAUGAAUAGCUCAUGCUUUUAUGGUAAUCUCAUUUAUUUUUAAAACUGUACAUGUAAAGACUAGUAGUUCAGAAUUACAUUAAGCAUUUCAAUUUUAAGCACCGUGUUCUGUUUAAUUGCGUUCCUAUUGAUUAAGUGACAAAUAAAAGAGAUUGAUUAAUUUGUUCUUGUAGGAGAGGCGAAUGGUUUCCGAAUAAAGAAAGCAAGGGUUUGAUGGAAGGCUUACUUGGAGCAAGAGAGCGAUCAAUCGAGUUGCUGCGUUUUAUUCUCUUUUAUCUUUGUUUUUUAAGAAAAAUAAACUGCCACACGUAGAAACAGAAAAUUAAGUUCUUGUCAUUUUCAUGCAUAUGGAUUGUUGCUGUGUGUGUCAAUCAAAUCUCCGUUGUGUCAUUUGUAAUUUUCAACCUUUAUGCAUGCAAAUGCGAGACCUCUUACGUAUAAUAAAAUUAAUAUACUUCCAAAGAUGGUCUUAUCUUGCGUUGACUUUUUACGUUCCUUUGGUGAUGAUUUUGACGUUUGAAAUUG
rnacentral:lncRNA from 1 species